rnacentral:lncRNA from 1 species
CUUUCUCCCUCUACUUCUUUAUCUACAUCUUUUGUUGCACUACUUCCAUUUGCAUCAUUUAAGAUUGGGGACCUACACAAAAGGACUUGGGAAUAUCAUUUGAAGAUAGAUAUUUGAUUAUUUUUCUACCUUAUUGAUUGUGUUUGGUUACAAAUAUAACUCUGUAUGCCAGAAAGAUUUAAAUGAUUGGAUUGUGCUGUUAAUAUCUGCUUUCAUCGGUUAAUUUCUCAA